rnacentral:rRNA from 1 species
CUCAGGAUGAACGCUGGCGGCGCGCCUAACACAUGCAAGUCGAACGGCACCCCUCUCCGGAGGGAAGCGAGUGGCGAACGGCUGAGUAACACGUGGAGAACCUGCCCCCUCCCCCGGGAUAGCCGCCCGAAAGGACGGGUAAUACCGGAUACCCCGGGGUGCCGCAUGGCGCCCCGGCUAAAGCCCCGACGGGAGGGGAUGGCUCCGCGGCCCAUCAGGUAGACGGCGGGGUGACGGCCCACCGUGCCGACAACGGGUAGCCGGGUUGAGAGACCGACCGGCCAGAUUGGGACUGAGACACGGCCCAGACUCCUACGGGAGGCAGCAGUGGGGAAUCUUGCGCAAUGGGGGGAACCCUGACGCAGCGACGCCGCGUGCGGGACGGAGGCCUUCGGGUCGUAAACCGCUUUCAGCAGGGAAGAGUCAAGACUGUACCUGCAGAAGAAGCCCCGGCUAACUACGUGCCAGCAGCCGCGGUAAUACGUAGGGGGCGAGCGUUAUCCGGAUUCAUUGGGCGUAAAGCGCGCGUAGGCGGCCCGGCAGGCCGGGGGUCGAAGCGGGGGGCUCAACCCCCCGAAGCCCCCGGAACCUCCGCGGCUUGGGUCCGGUAGGGGAGGGUGGAACACCCGGUGUAGCGGUGGAAUGCGCAGAUAUCGGGUGGAACACCGGUGGCGAAGGCGGCCCUCUGGGCCGAGACCGACGCUGAGGCGCGAAAGCUGGGGGAGCGAACAGGAUUAGAUACCCUGGUAGUCCCAGCCGUAAACGAUGGACGCUAGGUGUGGGGGGACGAUCCCCCCGUGCCGCAGCCAACGCAUUAAGCGUCCCGCCUGGGGAGUACGGCCGCAAGGCUAAAACUCAAAGGAAUUGACGG